rnacentral:tRNA from 1 species
UUUGUCUUAGUAUAUUAGUACAAAAAUCUUUGAAGUUUAAAGAAAAAGUUUAAAACUUUUAGACAAAA